GAUGAACGCUAGCGAUAGGCUUAACACAUGCCAGUCGAGGGGCAGCAUGGUCUUAGCUUGCUAAGACUGAUGGCGACCGGCGCACGGGUGCGUAACGCGUAUGCAACUUGCCUCACAGAGGGGGAUAACCCGUCGAAAGACGGACUAAUACCGCGUACACUUGGGAUAGGGCAUCCUGACCCAAGGAAAUGAAAUUCGCUGUGAGAUAGGCAUGCGUCCCAUUAGCUAGUUGGUGAGGUAACGGCUCACCAAGGCGACGAUGGGUAGGGGAACUGAGAGGUUGAACCCCCACACUGGUACUGAGACACGGACCAGACUCCUACGGGAGGCAGCAGUGAGGAAUAUUGGUCAAUGGGCGAGAGCCUGAACCAGCCAAGUCGCGUGAAGGAUGACUGUCUUAUGGAUUGUAAACUUCUUUUAUACGGGAAUAACAAGAGCCACGUGUGGCUCCCUGCAUGUACCGUAUGAAUAAGCAUCGGCUAACUCCGUG
rnacentral:rRNA from 1 species